GAACUCUGGUAUUGAUUGGUGCUUGCAUCAUGAUUUACAUUUGAGUGAGUGGCGAACUGGUGAGUAACACGUGGGAAACCUGCCCAGAAGCGGGGGAUAACACCUGGAAACAGAUGCUAAUACCGCAUAACAACUUGGACCGCAUGGUCCGAGUUUGAAAGAUGGCUUCGGCUAUCACUUUUGGAUGGUCCCGCGGCGUAUUAGCUAGAUGGUGGGGUAACGGCUCACCAUGGCAAUGAUACGUAGCCGACCUGAGAGGGUAAUCGGCCACAUUGGGACUGAGACACGGCCCAAACUCCUACGGGAGGCAGCAGUAGGGAAUCUUCCACAAUGGACGAAAGUCUGAUGGAGCAACGCCGCGUGAGUGAAGAAGGGUUUCGGCUCGUAAAACUCUGUUGUUAAAGAAGAACAUAUCUGAGAGUAACUGUUCAGGUAUUGACGGUAUUUAACCAGAAAGCCACGGCUAACUACGUGCCAGCAGCCGCGGUAAUACGUAGGUGGCAAGCGUUGUCCGGAUUUAUUGGGCGUAAAGCGAGCGCAGGCGGUUUUUUAAGUCUGAUGUGAAAGCCUUCGGCUCAACCGAAGAAGUGCAUCGGAAACUGGGAAACUUGAGUGCAGAAGAGGACAGUGGAACUCCAUGUGUAGCGGUGAAAUGCGUAGAUAUAUGGAAGAACACCAGUGGCGAAGGCGGCUGUCUGGUCUGUAACUGACGCUGAGGCUCGAAAGUAUGGGUAGCAACAGGAUUAGAUACCCUGGUAGUCCAUACCGUAAACGAUGAAUGCUAAGUGUUGGAGGGUUUCCGCCCUUCAGUGCUGCAGCUAACGCAUUAAGCAU
rnacentral:rRNA from 2 species